rnacentral:rRNA from 1 species
AUGUACAUUCCUACAACAUAGCGCUAAUGCACUAGAUCCCAUUAGAACUCUGCAGUUAAGCAUGCUCGGGCUAGAGUAGUACUGGGAUGGGUGACUUCUCAGGAAGUCCUAGUAUUUUACAUG